GAAUAUUGGACAAUGGGGGCAACCCUGAUCCAGCCAUGCCGCGUGAGUGAUGAAGGCCUUCGGGUUGUAAAGCUCUUUUGGCGGGGACGAUGAUGACGGUACCCGCAGAAUAAGCCCCGGCUACCUUCGUGCCCGCAGCCGCGGUAAGCCGAAGGGGGCUAGCGUUGUUCGGAAUUACUGGGCGUAAAGCGCGUGUAGGCGGUUGCCCAAGUCGGGUGUGAAAGCCUUGAGCUCAACUCAAGAAAUGCACUCGGUACUGGGUGACUAGAGGACCGGAGAGGAUAGUGGAAUUCCCAGUGUAGUGGUGAAAUACGUAGAGAUUGGGAAGAACACCAGUGGCGAAGGCGGCUAUCUGGACGGUUUCUGACGCUAAGACGCGAAAGCGUGGGGAGCAAACAGG
rnacentral:rRNA from 1 species